UCCUCGGUAGCUCAGUUGGUAGAGCAAACGACUGUUAAUCGUUGGGUCGCAGGUUCGAGUCCUGCCCGGGGAG
rnacentral:tRNA from 1 species